GGNAANCUACGACGCGUCGCUNUAAUGCUACCUAACAUGNGNUACGUUGAUCUAUGGACUCACAANUCGGANCCGCUCGUCUUGUAGCAGCCUAACACAUGCAAGUCGAACGCGAAAGUGGAGCAAUCCAUGAGUAGAGUGGCAAACGGGUGAGUAACGCGUGGGUGACCUGCCUUCGAGCGGGGGAUAACGUUUCGAAAGGAACUGCUAAUACCGCAUGACAUCCUGCCUUUGAAGAGGUGGAGAUCAAAGCUGGGGAUCGCAAGACCUAGCACUUGAAGAGGGGCCCGCGUCUGAUUAGCUAGUUGGUGAGGUAACGGCUCACCAAGGCGACGAUCAGUAUCCGGCCUGAGAGGGCGGACGGACACACUGGGACUGAGACACGGCCCAGACUCCUACGGGAGGCAGCAGUGGGGAAUUGUUCGCAAUGGGCGCAAGCCUGACGACGCAACGCCGCGUGGAGGAUGAAGACCUUCGGGUCGUAAACU
rnacentral:rRNA from 1 species